rnacentral:rRNA from 2 species
CGAACGAUGAAACUUUACUGACUUCUUCAGAAAGAUUUAAAGCGGAUUAGUGGCGGACGGGUGAGUAACACGUGAGUAACCUGCCUUACACAAGGGGAUAGCCGUUGGAAACGACGAAUAAUACCCUAUGAAACUAUCACUUCGCAUGAAGCGAUAGUCAAAGUGUUAGCGGUGUAAGAUGGACUUGCGUCUGAUUAGCUAGUUGGUGAGAAAAAAAGCCCACCAAGGCAACGAUCAGUAGCCGGCUUGAGAGAGUGUACGGCCACAUUGGGACUGAGACACGGCCCAGACUCCUACGGGAGGCAGCAGUGGGGAAUUUUGCACAAUGGGGGAAACCCUGAUGCAGCGACGCCGCGUGAUUUAGAAGGCCUUCGGGCUUGUAAAAAUCUUUUGUAUAGGAAGAAAAUGACAGUACUAUACGAAUAAGGUCCGGCUAAUUACGUGCCAGCAGCCGCGGUAAUACGUAAGGACCGAGCGUUGUCCGGAAUCAUUGGGCGUAAAGGGUACGUAGGCGGGUCACUUAAGUUAGAAGUCAAAGGCUAUAGCUCAACUAUAGUAAGCUUCUAAAACUGGAGACCUUGAGUAAUGGAAGGGAAAGUGGAAUUCCUAGUGUAGCGGUGGAAUGCGCAGAUAUUAGGAGGAAUACCGGUGGCGAAGGCGACUUUCUG